UCUCGUGGCUUCCAUGCAGAAGUGCACGGAAACAGCUGUUUGCUAUCGAAAAGUUGGCUGUUACUGUUCUUCUGAUGGAGGCUGCUGGA
ensembl:miRNA gga-mir-2131 gga-mir-2131